rnacentral:lncRNA from 1 species
GUACCUGUUAUUGAGUGAGAUAAGCAAAUGGUAUUUCAGGACCAAAACAUCUGUUUCCUGAAGAGUUGCUCCUUUAAUUGUGUAUCUACCUACCUGUCUAUGUAACUCUUGGCAAAUACAUUGGAGACUUCUCAACUUUCUGCUUCUGAUGAUCUCAACUUGUGGUAUGGCAAAAGGAGAGCAAAAUGUUCACCCAGGAACGAGAAGUCCUGGCAGCUGAGUCAUGAUCCCCCAGGAGCCAUUAAGAAGUUAAUCUUCAGUCACUUCCAUCCAAACAGAAGAAAACCCAUGAAGGAUGAGAACUAUGGGUCCUGAGAAUGACAGAAGCAGAUCAAGAAACUGGCGAUUGAAGAGUAACUGAAAGAAACGCAAUCUGAUCUUACUAGCAGUGAAAGAGCGAGUGGAGGAAACAGAUGAAGGAAACAGCUUACACCAAGAUUUCAGAUACGAUCAUUUUGAAUAGCUAUUUCCUUUACUUUCCAGGAUUGUUUUUGUAAUCAGUUGAAAAAGAAUGCUUUUUUCCCCCUAGAGUUAGGGUUUAAAAAAUUACAUAUUUAUUAUUACACUGUUAAUAAGCUUUUUUGCAGUUUGUUUCUUCUUCAAGUUAUUUCAUUUGUUUCACCCACUGUCAAUGUAUUUAUUUUUUUUAAAAGUCUGAGGGCUACCGUUGGAGGUCUCUCUUAGUGAGACAAUGUAAUGCAUUAUCUAUUGCAGGUGUCAGGCUUUGAGCCCUACCUUAGCUACUUGCUAACUUGGCUACUCAGCCCAGUUAUUUGAAUUCACUAUGCCUCAGUUCCUUUGUUCCUAAAAUGUCGAUAAUAAAAGUUUCUGGGCUUGAUGUAAGUACUAAAUGGCUUAAUACAUAAAAAGUACUUAAGGCAGGACCCAGCAUGUAGCAAACCUCCAAUAAUUGUUGGCUAUCAUUAUCGCUGUUUUCUGUAUUUCUAUUAUUAUUAUUCUACAAAAUAUGUAAAUAUUUACAGAUGUCAACCAGAGUCUCUGCUGUAUGUCCCUAUCAUUGAGGUUCAUCCGUACUGUCUCUGUAUUGGAAUUAUGGUCAUAUCAGACUAAGAUCACUAGAGAUCUAAUAAAUGGGCAGAAUCUACUUUGCCAGGAAGGCUGAAGACAUUUGGUCAGAAAAUGUAGGAGUUUCUUGCUUCUGCAUCUCAGAUUCUUUGUGCCUUCAAUUUUUCUUGCUUUCCUUAGACCUCUCUGUAAAAGGUAACCUUUCAUCUUGAGUGUUUUUAAUACAUAUUGAAUAAUUAUUUGGUGGUGACUGGAACAUAAAUUAUCGAUUUAAUUCUCACAACUAGCUUAUAAAGAAGGUCCUCUUUGUAUGCCCAUUUCACAUGUCUAGGAAGAUCGAGUUCAGUAUGUGGAGCUGUGAUUCUAAUGUCAUGCAGUCUGCCUUUAGAGCAAAAAUGCAUAAAUCCUCCUCCAUGCUGCCUUCUCACUCAUGUUCUGGAUUUCAUAUCAUGUUAAUAACUUAUCUCCUAUUACCUCAUGCCCUGCCCCUCAACCACAAUCAAAGCUAUCAUCUCACUCAGAUUGUAGAGGAAAGUCCUUUUUUCUUGGUACCACCAUGGACCUUGAUUAAACUUUUGAGGAAUCUGUAGCUCAG